AGGCUUAACACAUGCAAGUCGAUCGGGCGUAGCAGUACGUCAGCGGCAGACGGGUGAGUAACGCGUGGGAACAUACCUUUUGGUUCGGAACAACACAGGGAAACUUGUGCUAAUACCGGAUAAGCCCUUACGGGGAAAGAUUUAUCGCCGAAAGAUUGGCCCGCGUCUGAUUAGCUAGUUGGUAGGGUAAUGGCCUACCAAGGCGACGAUCAGUAGCUGGUCUGAGAGGAUGAUCAGCCACAUUGGGACUGAGACACGGCCCAA
rnacentral:rRNA from 1 species